ACAGCCAUAUAGCAUUGAAACACCAAUUCUCAUAUAAUCACUGAAGUUAAGCAAUGUCAAGCCUGGUUAGUACCUAGAUGUGUGACCACUUGGGAAUAUCAGGAUG